rnacentral:misc_RNA from 1 species
CUGGAUAUAUUCUUUAACAAGUGGCAAGAAGUUUUGUACCACUGGUUAUGCUCAAAUCCGAACUUUGAAGAAGUCACGAAAUGGUAUUUGGGUUGGAAGGAACUUAUUCCACCUGAACUUCAGGCAAAUGAACACAUUCGCUAUCGACUGAAUCUUGCUCUAGAAAUGAUGAACCGGACUGUUGAAGGCUUGGAGGUCGUUCAGCCUGGUUUGAGGGAGAACAUAAGUUAUCUUAGGGUUCUUGAACAAAGGCAAUUUGAGACUCAGAAAAAAGCAGCAGUACAAGCUCAAUCCCGCCCUUCUGUGGGCUCAAACAGUGGUAUCCAAAUGGAUGGUGGGG